rnacentral:rRNA from 1 species
UACGUAGGGUGCGAGCGUUACUCGGAAUUACUGGGCGUAAAGCGUGCGUAGGCGGUUCGUUGUGUCCGAUGUGAAAGCCCCGGGCUUAACCUGGGAAUGGCAUUGGAAACUGGCGAGCUUGAGUGCGGCAGAGGGGGGUGGAAUUCCGCGUGUAGCAGUGAAAUGCGUAGAGAUGCGGAGGAACACCGAUGGCGAAGGCAGCCCCCUGGGUCGACACUGACGCUCAGGCACGAAAGCGUGGGGAGCAAACAGG